GCCACGGUGAAAGGGAAAAGAAACAUAACCUAACGCCACCUUCAAUCCAUUGUAACUUCCUCAUCCGGGCUCCAAUCAUCGCACCGUUCAUGGCCACGUGUUCAGUGCAUCAAGCUCUACAUAUCUAUCAGACCAAUUUUACGGGUCCGAUUUAGCUUGCAGAACUCAUCGGGUUUGAGUUACUAUGUGUAUGGGUAUGAUGCAGGUCGAGAGGCUCUUCGCUAGGCGUCUGGAUCCUGGAAAGCGAAGUAGUUCUUGGGUGUAUUUUG